rfam:Pygoscelis adeliae contig66698, whole genome shotgun sequence.
GGCCUCAGGGUGCAAUGGCAGCACGUCUGACUUCAGAUCAGAAAGUUGUGUGUUCGAGUCACACUGGGGUCA